GCGGCGGCGCGUAAUUAAUACAUGAUGGCGGUGUGAUUGGGGCGGUGGGCGGGGCGCUGCCUCACCCGCACCUCCGCGCGCCUCGCUACAUUUCCCCCUGAAUUUCCGUCGGAAGAACUGUGCGCCGGGUUUUUGCUCAGCACCGCUCAGCACCUCCACCGGGCCGCCCCCUCCGCACCCCCCAGCCGCCCCCAGGGAUCAGCACGCCCUUGCAAAUCACCCUUAGGUCCAUCACGUGCCUGUACCGACCCACGCCUGCACGCCUGCACGCACAGUCUCAGUUUCCCUGCCGGCCGUGGAGCAGCGCGGGCGUGUCGUGGACGAACACAACAGAGCACUUGCGUGGAAACAAAGUGCGUGUGUAUUUGCGUGCGUUUCCCUAAGUCUGUGUGUGCGCGCAUGUGUGUGUUUCCAUGUGCGUGUGUGCGCGGCAUGUAGGUAUCAAAUCUGGCUUGAAAAUGUGGGCGUGUGCGGGUACGUGAGUGUGUGUGUGGGUGUGCGGGUUUGCGUGGGUGUGGGUGUGCGUGGGUGGGCGUGCAUGUGUGUGCCUGUCACGUGCAUGGAAGGCUUUUAAAGGAACGAGGAAUAUUGGUCAGUGACAAACAAAAUAACACAACAUUGUGGAACUGAAAAUAACAAGACAAAAGAAAAAAUAAAUAAAAAAAAAUUUUCAGAACAACAACAACAACAACAACAACAACAACAACAAAAUAACAAUACUGUGAAACUGAAAAUAGGGAGAUAAGGAAACUAGGAAAAGAAAAGCAGAUUUUAAGAACAACAACGUCAAUAGCUAAAAUAAUACAACACAACAUUGUGGAGUAAAAAAAAAAAUACAUAAGAAUACUGUGAAGUAAAAAAAAAAAAAUAAGAAGAUAAAGAGAUAAGUAAAAUAUAUAAAAGCAGAAUUUAAGAACCAUAAAAAAGAAAAAAAUAUAGUGAAACAUCUUUGAAUACAAAAUUAAAAAAAAGUGUUGAGUGUUUAAAAAAAAAGACAAAACUGUGCUUAUGGUUGAGGCAAACGAGAGUCGUAAGAGAAACAAAAGACAAUCAUCUCAGGAAAAUAUGAGUACGAUUUGAAUACAAUUUUACUAUAAAAACAAAAAAAAGAGAAAAGAAAAAAAGAAAGAUCGUCAUGGAAAUUAAAUACAGUGAAGACACGAUGACAAUUAUAAGAUAGACAAACUUUCAAUUAAUCGAGGAAAAAUAAAGAAGUAACAGAAGGAAUGGAAAUAAUCAUGCAGCAGAGGACUAAAACAUUUGGAAGAAAGAAGAGGGAAGAACAAUAAAAACAAGAAUACAAGAGAAAGAAAAGGAAGGAAAAAAUAACGGAAGAAAGAGUGUUGCAGAACAAACAAAAAUAAAUAAGAAAAGUAGAAAACGCUCAAAGAAAGGAAAUAAAAGAGCAAAAAAACAAAGGAACAAACAAACAAACAUACUGAAAUACACAAGCAUAGAAAAAUAAGAAAUAAAAUAAUUUACCAUAAAAAUACAAAAGUAAAAGAAAAAAACAAGAAAAAAAAGCAAGAGAAAAGAAAAACAAAUCAACAAGCAAAUAAGAAGAGAUUACUAGAGAGAGAGAGAGAGAGAGAGAGAGAGAGAGAGAGAGAGAGAGAGAGAGAGAGAGAGAGAGAGAGAGAGAGAGAGAGAGAGAGAGAGC